CAGCAGCCGCGGUAAUACCGGCGGCCCGAGUGGCGGUCACUCUUAUUGGGCUUAAAGCGUCCGGAGCCGGGGUGGGAAGUCCUCCGGGAAAUCUGGCCGCUUAACGGUCAGAAUGCCGGAGGAUACUCCCAGCCUAGGGGGCGGGGGAGGCCGAGGGGAUUCCCGGAGUAGGGGUGAAAUCCUAUAAUCCCGGGAGGGCCACCUGUGGCGAAGGCGCUCGGCUGGAACGCGUCCGACGGUGAGGGACGAAGGCCAGGGGAGCAAACCGGAUUAGAUACCCGGGUAGUCCUGGCUGUAAACGAUGCGGACUUUGUGUCGGACAAGCUAUGAGCUUGUCCGGUGCCGGAGGGAAACCGUUAAGUCCGCCGCCUGGGGAGUACGGCCGCAAGGCUGAAACUUAAAGGAAUUGGCGGG
rnacentral:rRNA from 1 species